CACGUAGGGCGCGAGCGUUGUCCGGAAUCAUUGGGCGUAAAGCGCGUGUAGGCGGUCCGGUAAGUCCGCUGUGAAAGUCGGGGGCUCAACCCUCGGAUGCCGGUGGAUACUGUCGGGCUUGAGUACGGAAGAGGCGAGUGGAAUUCCUGGUGUAGCGGUGAAAUGCGCAGAUAUCAGGAGGAACACCAAUUGCGAAGGCAGCUCGCUGGGACGUUACUGACGCUGAGACGCGAAAGCGUGGGGAGCAAACAGG
rnacentral:rRNA from 1 species